GACGAACGCUGGCGGCGUGCCUAAUACAUGCAAGUAGAACGCACAGUUUAUACCGUAGCUUGCUACACCAUAAACUGUGAGUUGCGAACGGGUGAGUAACGCGUAGGUAACCUGCCUGGUAGCGGGGGAUAACUAUUGGAAACGAUAGCUAAUACCGCAUAAUAUUAAUUAUUGCAUGAUAAUUGAUUGAAAGAUGCAAUUGCAUCACUACCAGAUGGACCUGCGUUGUAUUAGCUAGUAGGUGAGGUAACGGCUCACCUAGGCGACGAUACAUAGCCGACCUGGGAGGGUGAUCGGCCACACUGGGACUGAGACACGGCCCAGACUCCUACGGGAGGCAGCAGUAGGGAAUCUUCGGCAAUGGACGAAAGUCUGACCGAGCAACGCCGCGUGAGUGAAGAAGGGUUUCGGAUCGUAAAGCUCUGUUGUAAGAGAAGAACGGGUGUGAGAGUGGAAAGUUCACACUGUGACGGUAUCUUACCAGAAAGGGACGGCUAACUACGUG
rnacentral:rRNA from 1 species